GUACAGAGGUCCCAAGCGUUGUUCGGAUUCAUUGGGCGUAAAGGGUGCGUAGGCGGCGCGGUAAGUCGGGUGUGAAAUCCUGGAGCUCAACUCCAGAACUGCCUUUGAUACUGAGGAUCUUGAGUACGGGAGAGGUGAGUGGAACUGCGAGUGUAGAGGUGAAAUUCGUAGAUAUUCGCAAGAACACCAGUGGCGAAGGCGGACUCACUGGCCCGUUACUGACGCUGAGGC
rnacentral:rRNA from 1 species